rnacentral:rRNA from 1 species
ACUCCUACGGGAGGCAGCAGUAGGGAAUCUUCCGCAAUGGACGAAAGUCUGACGGAGCAACGCCGCGUGAGUGAAGAAGGUUUUCGGAUCGUAAAACUCUGUUGUCAGAGAAGAACAAGUUGGAGAGUAACUGCUCCAGCCUUGACGGUAUCUGACCAGAAAGCCACGGCUAACUAC